AUGGCUCAGGAUGAACGCUGGCGGCGUGCUUAACACAUGCAAGUCGAACGAAGCAACUAUCACGAUCCCUUCGGGGUGACGAUUGUUGACUGAGUGGCGGACGGGCGAGUAACGCGUGGGUAACCUGCCUUGUACAGGGGGACAACAGUUGGAAACGACUGCUAAUACCGCAUAAGCGCACAGCUUCGCAUGAAGCAGUGUGAAAAGUUUUUCGGUACAAGAUGGACCCGCGUCUGAUUAGCUAGUUGGUGAGGUAACGGCCCACCAAGGCGACGAUCAGUAGCCGACCUGAGAGGGUGACCGGCCACAUUGGGACUGAGACACGGCCCAAACUCCUACGGGAGGCAGCAGUGGGGAAUAUUGCACAAUGGGCGAAAGCCUGAUGCAGCCGACGCCGCGUGAGCGAAGAAGUAUUUCGGUAUGUAAAGCUCUAUCAGCAGGGAAGAUAAUGACGGUACCUGACUAAGAAGCACCGGCUAAAUACGUGCCAGCCGCUGC
rnacentral:rRNA from 1 species